UACGAAGGGGGCUAGCGUUGUUCGGAAUUACUGGGCGUAAAGCGCACGUAGGCGGACUAUUAAGUCAGGGGGUGAAAUCCCGGGGCUCAACCCCGGAACUGCCUUUGAUACUGGUAGUCUCGAGUCCGGAAGAGGUGAGUGGAAUUCCGAGUGUAGAGGUGAAAUUCGUAGAUAUUCGGAGGAACACCAGUGGCGAAGGCGGCUCACUGGUCCGGUACUGACGCUGAGGUGCGAAAGCGUGGGGAGCAAACAGG
rnacentral:rRNA from 1 species